rnacentral:rRNA from 1 species
AGGACGAACGCUGGCGGCGUGCCUAACACAUGCAAGUCGAGCGAGGAGAUUCCUCGGGAUGAUCCUAGCGGCGGACGGGUGAGUAACACGUGGGCAACCUGCCUCAUAGAGAGGAAUAGCCUUCCGAAAGGGAGAUUAAUACCUCAUAACAUUGCAGUUUCGCAUGAAACAGCAAUUAAAGGAGCAAUCCGCUAUGAGAUGGGCCCGCGGCGCAUUAGCUAGUUGGUGAGGUAACGGCUCACCAAGGCGACGAUGCGUAGCCGACCUGAGAGGGUGAUCGGCCACAUUGGGACUGAGACACGGCCCAGACUCCUACGGGAGGCAGCAGGUGGGGAAUAUUGCACAAUGGGGGAAACCCUGAUGCAGCAACGCCGCGUGAGUGAUGACGGCCUUCGGGUUGUAAAGCUCUGUCUUCAGGGACGAUAAUGACGGUACCUGAGGAGGAAGCCACGGCUAACUACGUGCCAGCAGCUGC